ACGAGGACCGUGCUGCACAAGCAGUGGAGGAAGGAGACCGUGAUAUCGUCUGCUACAGUGGCCAACUCCAGCACUCCGUCAACGAGCUGAGCGACAUUGUAUAUCACAUGAAGCUGGUUGACGAUUACACCCGGCCUGCGAAGUACACUGGUGAGCUCAUAGGUAUCCAGUACCUAUUUUCGCAGACCGGUCAAGUGCUGGAGGAAGUGAUGGGCAGGGAUCCCGACGCUCCGGAUGGGACUGAUACAGACGACGACGAUGACAGUGUCGACGAGGGCUUCCAAGAGGACGAGGGGCCGGUGCAGGAACCUCUGGACAACACCCUCUUCGGCCUUGAGGAGGACUUCGCCCGACAACCGUUGUCGUCUGACAAGUCCCAGUCGCGCCCUGCCAUCGGCGCCUCAAAGUCUGGGCCAGCCGACCAGGACACCUCCCCUGGAGACGAGGCCACUCAAAGCGUGUCCCACGAGCUGGUAAGUCUCUCCAGACGAGUUGUGCUAUACCUGUGGAAUAUCUGAGGAGUGCUCCCCUUUCUCACUUUCGGUCUCUUCCCCCAACAGAAUAGCCUUGGACCUGACACUGGCCGAGGUUACCAGCACGUGGUCAACCUGGCCUCCAGUCUCGUGAAGCUGCGUCACCAUCCCUACGUGACGCAGCAGCAAGUGGCGGAGAUCGUCACCCUCUGGGAACGAUUGCCGGAGGGCGACAAGGCCCCAGUUCGCUUUCCGCCACGCCACCAGGAAAGACUGGUGCAGGGGAGGUUUCGACGCAAGCACUCGCAGACCAGUGUCACACCGGGAGUGGAGAGCUUGCAACGGUGUAUGGUCGGCCAAGGCGCACAGAUGCCAAACAUCAGCCGCCUUGUGGAGGCCGUUUGUGUACAGCUGUCCAGGAUUCACCCCGAAGGAACCACCAUCAGCGGCGUGAGGGUGAACAGCUGGGCAGCUGUGAUGCGGGAUUACAUCUGCAUCCAGGAAAAUAUCCUCACAAAUCCGGUACUCGUGGCCCAGACACGUAUCCAGUUAUUCCCCCUCAAUCAGCGCACUCUGGCACAAUGGCACUACACUCGCACCAGGGAGCUGGUACGGCGGGCUCUGGAGAUGGCCGUGCCACUGCCAACCAGCUCGGCCCUUGCUUCAGAGCCCACCCAUACCGUUCGACCACG